UCUAACUCGGUGCCAGGGGCGGCGGUAGUACUGAGGGGCCGAGCGUUAAUCGGAAGUACUGGGCGUGAAGCGUGCGCAGGCGGUUUGUUAAGCGAGAUGUGAAAGCCCUGGGCUCAACCUAGGAAUAGCAUUUCGAACUGGCGAACUAGAGUCUUGUAGAGGGGGGUAGAAUUCCAGGUGUAGCGGUGAAAUGCGUAGAGAUCUGGAGGAAUACCGGUGGCGAAGGCGGCCCCCUGGACAAAGACUGACGCUCAUGCACGAAAGCGUGGGGAGCAAACAGGAUUAGAUACCCUUGUAGUC
rnacentral:rRNA from 1 species